rnacentral:rRNA from 1 species
AUUCCAGCUCCAAUAGCGUAUAUUAAAGUUGUUGCAGUUAAAAAGCUCGUAGUUGAACUUCAGACCUGGCCGGGCGGUCUGCCUAACGGUAUGUACUGUCUGGCCGGGCCUUACCUCUUGGUGAGCCGGCAUGCCCUUAACUGGGUGUGUCGGGGAACCAGGACUUUUACCUUGAGAAAAUUAGAGUGUUCAAAGCAGGCCUACGCCCGAAUACAUUAGCAUGGAAUAAUAAAAUAGGACGUGCGGUUCUAUUUUGUUGGUUUCUAGAGUCGCCGUAAUGAUUAAUAGGGAUAGUUGGGGGCAUUAGUAUUCAGUUGCUAGAGGUGAAAUUCUUGGAUUUACUGAAGACUAACUUCUGCGAAAGCAUUUGCCAAGGAUGUUUUCAUUG